rnacentral:tRNA from 1 species
GCCUUUGUGGUGUAAUGGUCAGCACACUCAUAUUCAAGAAUGCUGGUAUUCGAGAGGUCCAAGGUUCGAGUCCCAGCAAGGGCA